rnacentral:rRNA from 1 species
GACAGAGGUGCCAAGCGUUAGGCGGAAUCACUGGGCUUAAAGCGUGUGUAGGUGGAUGCCUAAGUACCUUGUGAAAUCCCAUGGCUCAACCAUGGAACUGCUGGGCAUACUGGCGAUCUUGUGCCACCUAGGGGCGAGCGGAACAGAUGGUGGAGCGGUGAAAUGCGUAGAUAUCAUCUGGAACGCCAAUGGUGAAAACAGCUCGCUGGGGGUGUGCAGACGCUGGAGACACGAAAGCCAGGGGAGCGAACGGG